rnacentral:rRNA from 1 species
GGUAAACAUGUACGCAGCCUGAUGCAGCCUGCCGCGUGAGUGAGAGGCCUUCGGGUUGUAAAGCUCUUUUGUAGGGAAGAUAGUGCCUUUACUAAUAUCCUAUGGACUUGACGGUACCUAGCAAGAAGCACCGGCUAACUCCGUGCCAGCAGCCGCGGUAAUAA